AUAAAAAAAAUAUUAAACACUCUUGGAAUCACUUCAUAAUUGCACAUUUAAAAAUUUGAUAUUUGAUGAUUAUGUUAAAAAAAAUUACAAAUGAAAUGUUGCAUUAAAGCAAUAUUAGAUCUUAAUGAAUUAAUUUAUUGAAAAAAACAAAGAACGAACAUUCGCUCAUUUAGUUUAAACGCACUUUACAUACGCAACAUGUUGCAUCGGAAGAGAAAGACUAGUAUCCUAUCCACUCGUAGAUUGUACUUCCCUCUAUCGAGCACGAUGCAAGUUGCGCGGUGGGACGAGUAAACAAAGUUCGAAGUUGGCAUUUCGCCUGUAGCCUAUUCACUACACCGCAGACGACAUGAUCGCUAGCAUACUCUCACCCCCUGCACUAUUCCCGGACACCGGAACCGAAUGCAGUCUGAAGUAUUCUGCAACCUAGCAACUCUUCAGAAUACACAUUGUUUGCCCGGCGAAACAUGUAUUUGAUCUGUAUAAUCCUACGUAAUUGCUGAUAUCGAUGCUGAUGUUAAUCCUUAAGAGAAAAAAAGUUACCACCAUUACAGUCAUAAUUACCGUUCUGCAAAGCCUAACGAAAGAAAGCUAUUAUAUUAUUAUCCUUAAGAAUCGAUCCUCUAAAAUGCUUCACGAAUACAUUAAUACAUAAUACAUUAACAACUGGUGGAAUGUAUAAACUUCUGAUGGCAAUAUACAAUGCCAAAGUUGAAAUUGGAUGGAUAUAACUCAACAAUAAUUAAGUAUACAGAAAGUAGUCAAUCUAUUAUUUAUAUUAUGAAUUAAUCUGAUUGAAGUUUUAUAUGUAAUCGAAUAUGUUAAUUAUUUGAUUUUAAGAUGAUAAAAUACAAUUCAAAUACUGAUUCGAAUAAAUAACGAUAAAAAUGACGAUCAAAUAAUUAUGCUCGUUUUAAAAUGACUUGCUAUGCAAUUAAAGGUGUGCAAGUGUAAUAAGAUGAGAAUAUGCGGAAGGAAAACACGAGUACUCGAGAUGAAACCUUGGAACUUCAUCCGAUUUGUUUCCUAUCGAAUUAUGAUAAGAAAAAAAAUACUGAAAAUAAAAAAGUGGAAGAUCCUAAUUUUUUAUCUAAA